rnacentral:rRNA from 1 species
GACGAACGCUGGCGGCGUGCUUAACACAUGCAAGUCGAACGGAAAGUGCGCUUCGGGGUGACUCGAGUGGCGAACGGGUGGGUAAAACGUGGUUGAUCUGCCCUACACUUGGGGAGAAGCCAGGGAAACUGGGUAGAAUACCGGAUAGGAACUCGGGAUGCAUGUUCUGUGGUGGCAAGCUUUUGCGGUGUGGGAUGGGCCCGCGGCCUAUCAGCUUGUUGGUGGGGUGAUGGCCGACCAAGGCGACGACGGGUAGCCGGCCUGAGAGGGUGACCGGCCACACUGGGACUGAGAUACGGCCCAGACUCCUACGGGAGGCAGCAGUGGGGAAUAUUGCACAAUGGGCGCAAGCCUGAUGCAGCGACGCCGCGUGAGGGAUGACGGCCUUCGGGUUGUAAACCUCUUUCAGCAUCGACGAAGCGCAAGUGACGGUAGGUGCAGAAGAAGGACCGGCCAACUACGUGCCAGCCGCCGCAGUAA